rnacentral:rRNA from 1 species
UGAGGAACAUGACCUUCGGCGGGGGAGUAGCCGGCCCAACGGCCGGGUAAUACCGCGUACGACCACAUGGGGACAUCCCUGAGUGGUGAAAGCAGCAAUGCGCCGAUGGAGUGCCUCGCGGCCUAUCAGCUAGUUGGUGAGGUAACGGCUCACCAAGGCGACGACGGGUA